GAUGAACGCUGGCGGCGUGGAUUAGGCAUGCAAGUCGAGCGAGAACCCAGCAAUGGGGGACAGCGGCGCAAGGGACAGUAAUGUGUAGAUUAUCUGCCCUCGGGUCCGGGAUAGCUGCGGGAAACUGCAGGUAAUACCGGAUAACAUCUCCGGAUCAAAGGUGUGAUUCCGCCCGAGGAUGAGUCUGCAUCCUAUUAGCUAGUUGGCAGGGUAAUGGCCUACCAAGGCGAUGAUGGGUAGCGGGUGUGAGAGCACGACCCGCGUCAUUGGGACUGAGACACUGCCCAGACACCUACGGGUGGCUGCAGUCGAGAAUCUUCGGCAAUGGGCGCAAGCCUGACCGAGCGACGCCGCGUGUGGGAUGAAGGCCUUCGGGUUGUAAACCACUGUCAGAGGGGAUGAAAUGCAGGUGGGUUCUCCCAUCUGUUUGACAUAGCCUUAGAGGAAGGACGGGCUAAGUUCGUGCCAGCCGCCGCAGUAAGAC
rnacentral:rRNA from 1 species